CCCCGAGUCUCGUCGCCCUCUCCUCCUCUCGUUCUCAUGCACGCGCCGCCAUGGCCUGGCCGCGCCGCCGCUCUCCAUGGCCUGGCCGCGCCGCCGCUCUCUCCUGGCCGCCUCCAGCCCUCUACAGCGCCGGCGAGAUGGGGCUUUCGUCCGCCUCGAUGAGCUUUGUAUCCUUCCCCAACUCGAUUUGGUUUUCCAGCUCUACCUCGUCCGGACCCAAACCUAGAAACCCUAGCGGUCGCUGGUCGGUUUGGCCAUCGCCGGCCAACCCCCGCGCCGCCGCUGGUCAUUGUUGCUGCCCGGUGAGGCUUCGCCCUCACCCGCCGCCUCGAUGCCUCCCUACGCGCGCGCGCCACCCUGCUCCUGCUCACGCCCGGCGCUCCCUGGCGUGGCUCCGCCCCCAUCUUCUCCCGGCCGUUGAUGGCCGCCUUCGGCGCCGCUGCUGUCUGACCGGCUGCUGCCAGCCGCAUCCGUCGUAGCUGUUUUCCGAAUCAUAUAUGCCCGGGUAUCCUCCCUCGACUCCCUGCCGCCGCGACGCCUCUCCUCCCUCUCUCGUGCACCCAAGGCUAACCCUAGCCCGCCACAAUUCGGCUCGCCUCCGGCGUGAUUCCGUGCCGCUGCGCCUCCAGAUGAUUCCUCCUUGGCGACCUCGACUUCCACCUCGAGCCGCAGCUCGACCUUGCUGUGUCGGCCUCCUCGAUUCUAUGGUGGUCUGAUGGUGUGGUGUGGUGUUGCUGCUGCUCGCUGACCGUGGCCUCUCGCACCAUGGUGUGGUCGGCCGACCUCGCAGGCUCCCUCGACUACGGCUUCGCCUGCGCCUCCGGUCAGGUAGUCCCUCGGUUCUUAACGAGAUAAGCCUCUGGUGGUUCAACAUGACUGGUCAUAUCGACUUUCAACUUUGUGAGGUGGAGAGUUCUCUCCAAACUACAAAUCAGAGAGUCGGCGGCGGCAGAUGGGUACUUCAGCUGCCUGGGCGGCAAGGAGAACCAGGCCUUACCAGUAUAGUGAUAGCUGGCCAUUGGUUGUGGUGGCGAACAAUGUUGACUUUCUGGUGGCGGCAACGGGUGCAUUUCGAUGGCAGUGUUUAAAUAAUUAAUGUGGGGGCUUCCUGAUUAUGUUAAUUAGGCCAUGUGUGCUCUGUUGGUAAUAUUUUUAGUAGUGCUGCUCACAUAUUGGUUUUUAAACUUCACUUUAUGGUAUUCGAAAUAUAAAUAGUGAUCAUGAAGAUAUCAAUAGCAAAUGUAUCAAGGAAACUUAGUUUAUAUACUUUAGUUUAUAAUAUAUUUUGGAGCAUUUGUGGGGGUGAGUAGUACCUGACUGUUAAUGCUUGAUUGUGCUUACUAUGCAGAUGCCUAUGGUCGAUGAUACUUUGUGUUUUGGUUGCAGCUUAGUGUUGGGUUUGCUUUGGCACAGAGAGUGCUUCCAAGUCAACUCCUAUGUUUGAUGAUCUAAGGUGAGCCCUGUCAAUCAUUCCAUUGUUGAAUCUAUGCAGUCAAAACAAGACCUUUCAUAUGUUAGUUAAUUCUUGCUUUCCAUUUUAUAUUUAUAUAGUUUGUAACUUCAUCUAUACAGGUGGAAAAUUUCAGACGUGCAAGUGAGACGUGCAAGUGUGCAGCUAUAAGAAUAAAGUAGAACCAAUGUUUUAUUCUUGCUAACCUGGCUGACGCUAUUACCUGUUUGGUUGCUUGGCUUGGUGGAUUUUUAUGCCCCAUUUCCUGUUAGCUUCCUUAAUUCCUAAAUGUUUCCAUAGUUCAAAGUUAGGAAUAAACAUUGACGCUUGGCCUAUGUUACUGCCCUAUGCUAUAAUUUCUAUUAGAUUUGUAUCUUCUCUAAUGCCAUGUUUCUGCAGUUCCGUCUGCGGUUAAGCCCCGCUAUUGCUCCAUGGUAAUCCUAAAGUAAAUCUACAUGUGGUAGUUUAGAUUCUACGACAAACAAUCCUCUGUUUUCUGUUUGGACGCAGGUUCUUAGCUGGUUGCCAUUUGCUGUGAGGUGUGCAUCCAGUCCUCUACAUAGUAGGUCUAUGCACUAAACUGAAGAAGCUUGGGUUUUCGGUUCUGUUUGCAGACCUAUUAAAACACUAUAUACCAGCUUUUCAUGGCCAAGAAAAUAUAUCAUACUUUGAUGGACCUUUGUUUUGUAGUAACUACUAACAAACUCAGACACUGCUUAAUAAACUUAGUCUGCAUGGUCAUAAUUUACAUUAGAGGUUCAGAGUUUCAUGAACAGGAAGGUCUGAACGGUCCCCAAUAACAAGAAGGGGUUAAUUAUUGAAAUACCUAUUGCAAAGGAUGAACCUGACAGGCUUGUGUUAGUUCAAUUUGCACAACGGAGUAGGGAGUAGUGGUCCUGUAGGUGUGUGGUGGAUAUGUGCGUGGCUUGAUACACAUUGUAAUCACCCUGUAACUAUCUCUCUGUUCGAACCUUAAUUGAAAGAAGCUAAAAAACGCAAGUAGUUGCAGUAACUUCAAGAUCAGUUUGUGUUCUGAGUGAAUUGGAAGGGGCUCCUUAUGUCUAUAUGUAUGUAACUAAGCUACCACGUUUUAGUUCUGUCCAAUGUACUGACCCUAUUUUGCUACCAGUGCCUUCUUGAUGAAUCUGAUAAAUAAACAAUGUAUAAGUUAUAUCCUAUCAGCUUUUCCCAACCAACCUGGUGUACAAGAAAUUGCAUCAUCGUGUUGUCUUAUUUUAGUUCUCAUGAACACUAAAUAUACAUGUGAGAUCUCUACGUGUUAAUACAUCGCAUCUCGGAAGGUAAGGCUUAUGAUUUCAGAAUGUCUUGCUUAUGUAUCGCUUCGGCUUCUGGCUUUUGUGCCUGAGGCACAGUGGGUCAUCUGAAAAAUUUAGAGGGAUAAGAAAUAAGCAUCAUAAUUAAUGUGUAUAUAAGGCAAGAAAAAUCACCAAAAAUAUAGAUUCAAGCACGAAAAUAAAUUAAUUGUUAAAUUACCAUCCUAUAUGUUAGCAUCCAUUGGCAUAUUAAUACGCUUUCGUUUGCACUGAUUUAGGCGUUUCUUGCUUUGGAAGCCCAUGGUUACAUUUCAUGUAUUGAUUCUGCCAUUUGCGCGAUAGCGCAACGGGUCAUCUAGUAUAAGAAUGUGUAGGGCAGGUGCUAAAAUAUUAUAGGAAGCAUAGUUUCAUAAACAAUCAUUUAUGUGGUCUCAUUAGAAAUCUUUCUAAAGAUGUUUAUGUUCUUCCAAGUCUGACUUGGCUCUCCCUAACCCCUUCUCUACCUCUUUUGUUUAUUCUAGGAUUACCUUACUGAUCAAGGAAUGCUAGCAGGAUUCUUAGUGUUCAAUGCACCAUUGGAUGCUUUUCUCGGGUCCAUGCACCAUUGGAUGCUUGUAUUGGGUCCUCCUGCCUUUGUCAGUUUUUCUUAUCUUGCAAGGUCAUAGAAAGAUGCGAAUCUACUGUCUUGAUUUUUCUGGUACCUGAAGGAUUACCAUAUUGAUCAAGGAAUGCUGGAUGGAUUCUUAGUGUGCAACACCAUGAGAUGUUUGUCUCAGAAAAAUUGUUUGAAAGGGUUGAUGAUGAGUUCUGGUAGAAGCAUUGUCCUGGUCUUUCAAUAACUGGAAAUGCAUCGACAAGCAUCUAUGGUGAUAGCUGGACUUGAUAUCUUGUGUACAAAUAAGGUAUUUGCUACAUGCAGUUCUGUUGGCGCAUCGCUUGUUGUUUCUGGAGCUCUACGGUCGCCAGCAGGAAAGCGACUCGAACGUGCGCCUCUGACCGGUCACUUCCGCAUCCGUUCGCCCGCUCACUCGACCGGGCUGGCCCAGCUCAGUAUCCUGCCUGCCUUCUCUCAAUUCCAUUCCACCUCUGCUUCGUAGCAGGAAGGAGAGAAAGUCCAGCACACAUCUACCCGGCCCACUUCAAAUUCUUCCUCUCAAACUGCAGCACGAAGUAAAAAAAAAACUUAGGUCCGCUGCGCAUACUCCGCGCCGCCGCCCGCCGCACCAAUCGCCGCCUGUGUCUCUCGAGCUUCCAAAAGAUGUCUCUCACCGGAAACUGGGGGACGCCUCCCGAUCUCCCAAGUGCCUGCCCUUUUCAAUCCUCCUCCAACUGAGUGAUAACGCCCGCUGUCCCGGCAUCUCCCACGAUUCAUUCUAUUGAUUUUAAUGCCUUCAGCUGCCCAGAUCGUGUAUUUUAGCCCCUCCAUUCCAUCUUCUACGAGCCCCGCCAGUUGCCCCUCUUCACCCACUUGCUCGCUCUGUUCAUUGCCUGCAUCUGCUGGUGUUGCUGAAUGUUGCUGCACUACAUCCCCACGAUCCAUCAAGCUCCCCGCAGUCAGAGAACAACGAGGCUUGCUUUGGACUGCUAUUUCUACUGUCCUGCAUGAACUUCUCUCCCAGCCAUUUCAGUUAGAGGACAACAAUUGCUUCUUCAGUUAAAUUUGAUUAUUCUACCAAGAGUACUACAUAAGCCAUUCGGUGAGGCAUCAAGGAUUACAUAUCAGUUGGUUUGUUCUCUGCAAUCCUAUUCAAAAAGAUACAAGAAGACUACCACUUCCAGCUCUGUCAAAUGCACUGUAGCUGUUAAUAUCUUACUAGCCCGAACUUCCUAUUUCUUAUACCAAGCACUUCCUUACUUGCAUGCCAUUCCAUUAUAGAUUUAUAUCAGUUAAUUUUUGUUCGGUCCAGCAAGCCUAUUCCAAACGAACCCAGGCAUAUUCUCAUAAAUAAAGGUCACCAUGAUGACAAGUGACUGCACGACAUUGAACUUGCAAAUCCAAAGGCAUGUGUCGAGGAAUAGAGCUCACCAUGAUGACAAUUGACAACUAUAUUUCUUUCUACCGGACUUUUCAAAUAUUAUGUCUUUGUUGUGAAUCGCAAAAAAAAAGUCUUUGUUGUCAAAUAGUUUACGUUCCACUCCUGAAUGUGAGGAGUCGAUAAUAUUUUUUUAUUAAUGACACAUUGGAUAUAUUUUAGGUACACUGCUAUAAUUCUGCUAUUGCUUAUAUAUACUUGGUUAACUCAUGCCAUGAGAUUGUUCAUGUGAUGACAUUGCA